rnacentral:misc_RNA from 1 species
GAUGAAGAACGCAGCGAAAUGCGAUAAGUAAUGUGAAUUGCAGAAUUCAGUGAAUCAUCGAAUCUUUGAACGCACAUUGCGCCCGCCAGUAUUCUGGCGAGCAUGCCUGUUCGAGCGUCAUUUCAACCAUCAAGCCCCAGGCUUGUGUUGGAGCCCUGCGGCUGCCGCAGCCUCCCAAAACCAGUGGCGGGCUCGCUAUCACACCGAGUGCAGUAGUUUACUCUUCGCUCAGGGCGUGUGGCGGGUGCUAGCCGUGAAACCCCCAACUUCUCAAGGUUGACCUCGGAUCAGGUAGGAAUACCCGCUGAACUUAAGCAUAUCAAGCGGAGGA